rnacentral:rRNA from 1 species
GAUGAACGCUGGCGGCGUGCCUAAUACAUGCAAGUCGAGCGAACGGACGAGAAGCUUGCUUCUCUGAUGUUAGCGGCGGACGGGUGAGUAACACGUGGAUAACCUACCUAUAAGACUGGGAUAACUUCGGGAAACCGGAGCUAAUACCGGAUAAUCUUUUGAACCGCAUGGUUCAAAAGUGAAAGACGGUCUUGCUGUCACUUAUAGAUGGAUCCGCGCUGCAUUAGCUAGUUGGUAAGGUAACGGCUUACCAAGGCAACGAUGCAUAGCCGACCUGAGAGGGUGAUCGGCCACACUGGAGCUGAGACACGGUCCAGACUCCUACGGGAGGCAGCAGUAGGGAAUCUUCCGCAAUGGGCGAGAGCAUGGCGGAGCGACGCCGCGUGAGUGAUGAAGGUCUUCGGAUCGUAAAACUCGGUUAUGAGGGAAGAACAGAUGUGUAAGUAACUGUGCACAUCGUGACGGUACCUAAUCAGAAAGCCACGGCUAACUACGUG